rnacentral:ncRNA from 2 species
GGAUCCGAGGAGCGUUGCAGCGUCCCACCGACUUGUUCGGCAGCGGGGCGUGAGGCUCGGACCAUCCAUGCAACGACGCUCAUCCACA